UGCAGAGUGGCGUAGUGGUGAACGCUUUUGCCUUUGGAUCUGAAGGCCAGUGGUUCGAUUCCAAGUGAUGGAA